rnacentral:rRNA from 1 species
GACGAACGCUGGCGGCGUGCUUAACACAUGCAAGUCGAACGGAAAGGCCCUGCUUUUGUGGGCUGCUCGAGUGGCGAACGGGUGAGUAACACGUGAGUAACCUGCCCUUGACUUUGGGAUAACUUCAGGAAACUGGGGCUAAUACCGGCUAGGAUUUCCUGCUUCAUGGUGGGGGUUGGAUAGUUUCGGCGGUUGGGGAUGGACUCGCGGCUUAUCAGCUUGGUGGUGGGGUAGUGGCUUACCAAGGCUUUGACGGGUAGCCGGGCUGAGAGGGUGACCGGACAAAUUGGGACUGAGAUAAGGCCCAGACUCCUACGGGAGGCAAGGGUGGGGAAUAGUACACAGUGGGAGGGAGGCAGGUGCAGCAAAGCAGCGUGGGGGAUGACAGGAUUCGGGUUGUGAACCACUUUCGCCUGUGACGAAGCGUGAGUGACAGUAAUGGGUAAAGAAGCACCGGCUAACUACGUG